rnacentral:rRNA from 1 species
AUUGAACGCUGGCGGUAUGCUUAACACAUGCAAGUCGAACGGUAGCAGGCCUUCGGGCGCUGACGAGUGGCGGACGGGUGAGUAACGCGUAGGAAUCUGCCUUAUAGUGGGGGACAACUUGGGGAAACCCAAGCUAAUACCGCAUACGCCCUACGGGGGAAAGCGGGGGCGUCUUCGGACCUCGCGCUAUGAGAUGAGCCUGCGUUAGAUUAGCUAGUUGGUAGGGUAAAGGCCUACCAAGGCGACGAUCUAUAGCUGGUCUGAGAGGAUGAGCAGCCACACUGGGACUGAGACACGGCCCAGACACCUACGGGUGGCUG